GUGGGAGGGGGCUUGCUCCCGAAUGCGGUGUGUCAGUCGCUGAAUCUGUUGACUGGUACACCACAAUCGGGGGCAAGCCCCCUCCCAC
rnacentral:misc_RNA from 1 species